rnacentral:SRP_RNA from 1 species
GCCGGGCGUGGUGGCGCGCGCCUGUAGUCCCAGCUACUCGGAGGCUGAGGCGGGAGAAUGGCGUGAACCCGGGAGGUGGAGCUUGCAGUGAGCCGAGAUCGCGCCACUGCACUCCAGCCUGGGCGACAGAGUGAGACUCCGUCUCAA